ensembl:lncRNA
GUCUCGAUAAUGUUGUGUCCUUUCCUCUGUUUCUACGGUUGUUGAAUUCGGCGGAACGGCUUUACAUCUGAAUAGUAAUAUGAGAAAAGAAGGUCAGGUUAUGCAAAGGACUACAAUGACGAGCAUCAAAACAGACUACAGAGGCAAAAGUACAAGAAAGCAAGACAUCGGCGAUCACAACUAACUAAAAAACACUAACCCUUUUUUUUUUUUUCAAAUAUGAAUAUAUACCUCAACCCCAAUAUUAACAAAAUAUACUGAGGCGAAAAAGAGAAGUGAAUGACGUUUCCAGUGACAGAAUACAAAUAAUAUAUUGUAUAGGCUUAAUAUUGAUUUGACUGUUUGAUUCUUUAGACAGUGAGUUGGAGCUGAUGGCAGUUAGCAUGAAGAAGCUAUAUUUUUAAACUUCUGUAGAUUAUUUGUUAAAUAAAUUGUACUUCUGUCCCGCCUGGGUGUUCUGUCAAGCCAGGGUUUUGUUCUCCGGGGCUGCAGCCGG